rnacentral:rRNA from 1 species
UAAAAAUCGUAACAAGGUUUCUGUAGGUGAACCUGCAGAAGGAUCAUUAGUGAAGAUUUGGGCAGGCCAUACGGACGCCAAAAAGUGUCCCUGGCCGCCUACACCCACUAUACAUCCACAAACCCGUGUGCACUGUCUUGGAGAAAGGCUUCAGAGAAGUUUUUUGUGGCCUCUCUUGGGGUCUUUCUUCGCUACAAACUCGAAUGGUUAGUAUGAACGUGGAACUUGGUUGGACCGUCACUGGCCAACAAACUAUACACAACUUUCGACAACGGAUCUCUUGGUUCUCCCAUCGAUGAAGAACGCAGCGAAACGCGAUAGGUAAUGUGAAUUGCAGAAUUCCGUGAAUCAUCGAAUCUUUGAACGCACCUUGCGCUCUAUGGCAAUCCGUAGAGCAUGCCUGUUUGAGUGCCAUGAAAUCUCCCACCCCAAGCGGUUUUUAAAUGAAACGGCUUGGCGGAUGGGGUCUGGAUGGGUGCCUCUGCCUGCGCUACCUAGCACAGGCUCGCCCGAAAUGCAUGAGCGCCUUGAGACACUUUGCAUCCGCCUCUCUGUUUGGGAGGAGGCGGCCAAGCAGUGUUUUUCUCCUGGCAUGGCAUGAUACGUCAUUUGCUAUGUCGCCUAAAGGAGGAAUGUUUGGUUGUGUCUGCGUGUGCUUCGAACUUGCCUCUGUGGCACAUCCCAAUUUCACUUCUGGUCUCAAAUCAGGU